rnacentral:rRNA from 1 species
AUACGUAGGUGGCAAGCGUUGUCCGGAAUUAUUGGGCGUAAAGCGCGCGCAGGCGGUCCUUUAAGUCUGAUGUGAAAGCCCACGGCUCAACCGUGGAGGGUCAUUGGAAACUGGAGGACUUGAGUGCAGAAGAGGAAAGUGGAAUUCCAAGUGUAGCGGUGAAAUGCGUAGAGAUUUGGAGGAACACCAGUGGCGAAGGCGACUUUCUGGUCUGUAACUGACGCUGAGGCGCGAAAGCGUGGGGAGCAAACAGGAUUAGAUACCCUGGUAGUCCACGCCGUAAACGAUGAGUGCUAAGUGUUAGGGGGUUUCCGCCCCUUAGUGCUGCAGCUAACGCAUUAAGCACUCCGCCUGGGGAGUACGGUCGCAAGACUAAAACUCAAAUGAAUUGACGGGG